GGGUUAAGUCAGGUAUAAGAAAUUGUUCAAAUGAUAAAGAUUAGAGCUAAACAUUGCGAAUAUUUUGAAGUGUCAACUGAAAUCUCCUCGCUGUCACUUCUCCCCUUUCUUGCCUGCUUUCAUUCCCCCACAUUUAAACUUCUUUCAUUUUCUUUUCUUGGGCCUUGAAACCCUUCUCUCCAGUGCAGGCAUCUAGAAAUAAGUCAUGGGAUGUGUAAAAGGAAAAUAUUUUGGGCCCCCAAAUCACUAAGCUACAGGGAAAAGUCAAGCUGGAAACUGCUUAGGGUAAACCUGCCUCUCGUUCUAUUCAAAGUCAUCCCUCUGCUCACGGAGAUUAAUGCAUAUCUGACUGCCUCCUUUGGAGAGGCUAAUCAGAAACUCAUAAGAAUGCAACCAUUUAUGUCUUCUCUACCUAUGACCUGGAAGCCCCCUCCCCGAUGCAAGCUGUUGCCCUUUGCUUCC